GGAUUAAGCCGCUGUUAAGAAUAAGCUCCUCUUGGGCUGGAGAGAUGGCUCAGCCGUUAAAGGCUAGGCUCACAACCAAAAAUAUA
rnacentral:miRNA from 14 species